rnacentral:lncRNA from 1 species
CUGCUGUCUGCUUCGAAGGAGAAGCAUUAGCGUGGUUUUAAUGGGAGGAUAACAGACAACCUAUGAGAAAUUGGGAGGACCUGAAGCUUUUAUUGCUGGAUCGUUUCCGCCCUUCUCAGGAAGGGAUCGCUCUGUAGAAAUUCCUUGCGUUGAACAAGAGAGGACAGUGAAGGAUUACCAGAGGCAGUUUGAAUUAAUGGCUGCUCCCCUACCGACUAUCCCUGAAUCAGUGAUGGAAGGUAACUUCAUGAAUGGGUUGAGCCCAAAAAUAUGGGCCGAAGUGAGAAUGAUGAGGCCCCAGGGAUUGGGCCAUAUAAUGGAGUUAGCCCAUAGAGUAGAGGAUAGAAAUGAAUCCUUGAAACGAGCCCAUCUUAGGGCAGGCCCAUUUGCGUCCAAAAAUAGCAGCUCGAAAUCGGCUUGUAGCCCUAAUUCCUUCAGCCCGACACCUGCUCCCUCCAGAUGACAGUGAUGACACAACAAGGUUCGGGGGUUCCUCUCUGUUCAACCGCUGUUCCGAUGCCACGACCAGUGUCGGCAGUCAAAUCGGCAUCGCCCUAUAAGAAACUCACUGAUACUGAACUGCAGAGGAAGAGAGAACGAGGCCUGUACUACCACUGUGAUGAAAAGUUUAAGCCAGCUAUAAGUGUGCCAAUAAAGAGUUGCAGGUGCUUGUGGUCCAGGAAGAAGAGGGAGUUGAGCAAUUAGAGGCCGUGGGGAAGGAAGAAAAGGAUGAACUGGGGGAAUGAAUUGAGUUGUCCAUCAAAUCGGUGGUAGGCCUAUCAACGCUUCGGACCAUGAAAUUGCAGGGGACCAUUUUGGGGCAGAAUGUGGUUGUGAUGAUUGAUUUUAGUGCUACCCAUAAUUUUAUUUCAAAUAAGCUGGUGGGGAAGUUGGGGCUGAGUAUCACCAGUACAAGUAGCUAUGGAGAUGGGGUUGACAGUCAACGUAGGGGGAGUAUGUAGGGGGGUGGUGGUGUCCCUACCACAGAUUGACAUAGUGGAAGACUUUCUUCCCCUGAAGCUAGGAUGCACAGACGUCAUCCUAGGAAUGAAAUGGUUGGAAACUUUAGGGAAGAUGCAGGUUAAUUUGGGAACUUUGACUAUGCAUUUUAAAGUAGAAGAAGAGACAAUUGUGUUGCAGGGGGAUCCUAGCUUGGACAAAUCACAGGUAUCCUUGAAAUCAAUAGUUAAGUCAAUCAAGAAUGGAGAGCAGGGGUUUUACUGGAAUUAGGGAGUAUGGGGGUGGUGACCGAGGAAAUGGGGCCUGAAACGCCUGAUUUGUUGAAGCAAUUAUUGAAGAAAUAUUGCUAGAUUUUUGAGAAACCCCUCGAACUGCCUCCAACAAGGACAUGAGAUCAUGUCAUCAACCUGUAACCUGGGGCAGCCCCGGUGAAUGUGAGACCGUGCCGUUAUCCGUAUGCUCAAAAAAAUGAAAUUGAGAAAUUAGUUUAGGAAAUGCUAGCUGCUGGAAUCAUACAACCUAGUUACAGUCCCUUCUCGGGCCUAGUUCUGUUAGUUAAGAAGAAGAAUGGGAGUUGGCGCUUUUGUGUGGAUUAUCGUGCCCUUAAUAAGGUUACUAUACCUUAUCGGUUCCCAAUGCCGGUGAUAGAUGAGCUGUUAGAUGAGUUACAUAGGGCGCGAGCAUUUUCUAAGCUGGACUUGAGGUCCGGGUACCAUCAGAUCAGGGUAAAGGCAGAGGACAUACCCAAGACAGCUUUUCGAACCCAUGAAGGUCACUAUGAGUUUCUGGUCAUGCCAUUUGGGCUGACAAAUGCACCGCCAACCUUUCAACAUUUAAUGAAUGAAGUCUUUCGACCAUAUUUGAGGAGAUUUGUGCUUGUUUUCUUUGAUGACAUACUGGUGUAUAGUGGGUCAAUUGAGAAACAUCACCAGCAUCUGCAAAUUAUUUUGGAGAGCCUACAGGAGCAUAGGUUGUAUGCCAAUGUUAAAAAAUGUGUAUUCAGCCAGCCGAAAAUUGAGUAUUUGGGUCAUGUCAUCUCGAAAAAAUGGGUGGCGACGGAUCACAGUAAAAUUGAAGCAAUGAUCAGUUGGCCCACACAUCGCACCAUCAAGGAGCUUCGAGGGUUCCUGGGACUCGCAGGUUACUACAGGCAGUUUGUGGAGGGUUUUGCUAAGAUUGCCUGGCCUUUGACCGAACUUCUUGAGAAGAAUGGGUUCCUUUGGAGUGAUAAGGCAGAAACUGCAUUCCAAGCACUGAAGGCAGCCAUGAAAGAUGUGCCAGUGCUUGCACUACCCGAUUUUUCUCAGCAGUUUGUCAUUGAAAUUGAUGCUUCGGGGUAUGGAUUAGGAGAUGUUUUAAUGCAGAACCAUCAUCCUAUUGCUUACUACAGCCAUGUCCUUCCAGCUAAUGCUCGUUGAAAAUUGGUCUAUGAGCGGGAAUUAAUGGCUAUUGUAUUUGCGGUUCAGAAGUGGCGCAUUACUUGUUGGGACGGCAUUUUGUGGUGUGAACUGAUCAAAGAAGUUUGAAGUUUUUGUUGGAACAACGCAUGGUUUGUGAAGAACAUCAAAAAUGGUUAACCAAAUUACUGGGAUACAGCUUUGAUAUUCAAUAUCAACUCGGGGUGCAGAAUAAAGCGGCAGAUGCACUUUCACGGGUCGAACCCAGCAUAUGUAACAUGAUGAUUUCUACUCCUAGGUCACUGCACCUGGAGGAGCUUAAACAAGCAAUAGCAGCCGAUGAAGUGUGGGGCAAAGUGGUGACUGAGAUGAAGGUUGGGCUCCAGUCUAAACCGGGAUUUACAUUGACAGACGAAUUACUAAGAUAUCAAGGGCGGGUGGUCCUUUCCAAGAACUCUCAUUUUGUUACAAUCAUACUGCAGGAAAGCCAUGAUCCUAAGGUAGGUAGACAUCUGGAUUUCUUAAGACAUUUAAACGGGCUGCACGGGAUGCUUAUUGGUUGGGAAUGAAGAAGGACGUGCGAGACUAUGUGGUGAACUAUGCCGUUUGCCAACAGAAUAAAUACUUGGCUCUAUCUCCCUAUGGACUAUUGCAGCCCUUGCCUAUUUCGGAAUCAAUCUGGGAUGACAUUUCCAUGGACUUCAUUGAGGGACUUCCUAGAUCUGGAGGGGUAGAUACCGUGUUGGUGGUAGUGGACCGCUUGAGUAAAUAUGGACAUUUCAUCGGCCUAAAACAUCCUUUCACAACUCCCGAAGUCGCCAAGUUAUUCAUCCGAGAGAGAGUUCGUUUGCAUGGGAUGCCCCGUUCAAUUGUGUCAGACAGGGACCGAAUUUUCAUGAGUAACUUCUGGGUAGAAUUGUUCAAAGCACAGGGGACUAUUCUUAAGCAUAGCACCGCAUACCAUCUUCAAACACGGAAGUAGUUAACCGAUGCCUUGAGACAUAUCUAAGGUGUUUUGCUUCGAAUAAACCUGGCACUUGGAGUCAAUAUCUACUGUGGGCAGAGUUUUGGUACAACACAUCAUUCCACACUGCAACCCGACGUAUCCUAUUUCAGAUUGUGUACGGUCGGGAUCCUCCAUCAAUAUUACAGUUUGAGAAGGGUCUUACAGCCAACUCUUCUUUUGAAUCUGCAGGAGCUUAAGGCUCAACUCUCUAAGGCUCAACUGAGGAUAAAACAAUUGGCUGAUGGGCAUCGGCGUGAUAUUCAGUUUGAGGGUGGUGACUUAGUGUACCUUAAAUUGCGUCCAUAUCGGCAGAAAUCUGUGAGAAAAAGGUCAUGUGAAAAGCUGCCCCCAAGGUACUAUGGGCCUUCUGAGGUUUUUUCAAAGGUGGGCAGUGUUGCAUAUAAACUAAAAUUGCCUUCCACUGUAGCUAUACACCCGGUAUUCCAUGUGUCUUAGCUUCGUAAGGCAAUUGUUACCUCUCAACCUAUCUCCUCCCUUCAUCCACAUCUCAGAGCAACAGGGAAUCUCAUCACUGAACCGGAGGAAGUCUUAGCUAUUAGAACUAGUGUUGCAAACAUGAAUCAUGAGCCAGAAGUUUUGAUCAGGUGGAAGGAUUUACCAGAAUUUGAAGCAACUUGGAAACCUUUUGAGACCAUACGCCAGCAGUUUCCUAGCUUCCACCUUGAGGACAAGGUGGAUUUUGGGACGAUGGGUAAUGAUAAACCCCCCAUUCGAUUCACUUACACCAGAAGAGGAAAGAAUGACGUGAAGCAACCAAGUUAGUUUACAUUCCAGAAUAUUCCACUAAGUCAGUAACUAGAAGGGUAAAAGUGUAAUAGUGAUAGGAAAGAAUGUCUAUAAAAAGGAUAGAGGGAAAGUGAACGUCAGACAUUGUUUGAGUGAAUUUCUGUUAAGUUUGGAGGGAACCAGGACUCUCGAAUUGCCUGUGGGAUUGCCAUUUGGUUAUUCAGUUCAAUAAAGAGUUAUUUUCAAUUCCAAUAAUUUCACCUAGGGUGCGUUUGAUUGCAAACAUGAAAUUGAAAACGAAUUCCAGGGAAUUGAAUUGUCUAAAAAUUAUUUUCUUGAGAAUUGUAAAUUAUUGUGUUUGAUUAAUAUAAUUUUCUACGUGAAAAAUG